UACGAGUGCCCCGAGCGUUAUCCGGAAUCAUUGGGCGUAAAGGGUGUGUAGGUGGCAGUGUUAGUCAAUUGUUAAAAACCUCGGCUCAACCGAGGGACUGCGAUUGAAACGGCACAGCUAGAGGAUGGCAGGGAUGUAUGGAACUCAUGGAGUAGGGGUGAAAUCCGUUGAUAUCAUGGGGAACACCAAAGCAGAAGGCAGUACAUUGGCCACUCCGUGACACUGAAACACGAAAGCGUGGGAUAGCGAAGUGGG
rnacentral:rRNA from 1 species